rnacentral:rRNA from 1 species
CAUGCAGGUGGUUCUUUAAGUCUGACGUGAAAGCUCCCGGCUCAACUGGGAGAGGUCGUUGGAAACUGGAGAACUUGAGGACGGUAGAGGAGAGUGGAAUUCCCGGUGUAGUGGUGAAAUGCGUAGAUAUCGGGAGGAACACCAGUGGCGAAAGCGGCUCUCUGGGCCGUUCCUGACACUCAGAUGCGAAAGCUAGGGGAGAGAACG